CACCAAUAUUUGUGUUCAGCGAAGUCUCCCUAGUAUAACAGUACCCCCAUGUUCAGGUUUUAUGGUGUUUUCAAAAGUUACUGAGUCAAAUAUACGGCUUGAAUUUCCUUUUUUCACAUUGAAAUUUUCCAGAUUGUUAUGUUGCCUUUGAGACCGUAUGGUAGCCCAAUAAUGAGAAUUGCCCCCAUGAUGGCAUACCAUUUGCAAAAGUAGACAACCCAAGGUAUUGCAAAUGGAGUAUGUCCAGUCUUUUUUAGUAGCCACUUAGUCACAAAC